CACGUAGGGUGCGAGCGUUGUCCGGAAUUAUUGGGCGUAAAGAGCUCGUAGGCGGUGUGUCGCGUCGGCCGUGAAAACCUGCAGCUUAACUGUGGGCGUGCGGUCGAUACGGGCAUCACUGGAGUUCGGCAGGGGAGACUGGAAUUCCUGGUGUAGCGGUGAAAUGCGCAGAUAUCAGGAGGAACACCGGUGUCGAAGGCGGGUCUCUGGGCCGAUACUGACGCUGAGGAGCGAAAGCGUGGGGAGCAAACAGG
rnacentral:rRNA from 1 species